UUAUUUACUCUUAUUCUUAUUUUAUCAUCUUCACAUAUUGAAAAUUUUUCGUUCCCGCUCACAAAAAACUCUGCUUGAAUUCAACAUUCCUCCCAAAAUGAAAAAAUUCCUAAUACCCUUUAGAAUUUGAUGUCUCUCACUCUCAUUUCUCACGAAGUAUGAACCCUCGCUUUGACAAUCACAUAUAUCCAAACCCAACCCCUCUUGCCGUUGUGCCAUGGUCGAGAAACUGCGUUGAAGAGGCCACCGUCGUCGAACCCACCGCCGUCGAACCUACCGUCGUCAAGCCCUUGUGCCAAUGCAUGGCCAGACCCUCGUGUUCUCUUGUUCUCUUCGGUAGAAGCACUCUCAAUCUCUCACUCCCGUAAGGGGCGUUUGCCUGCCAAAGCUCCUCUGUCGCACUCCCCUAUCGUUGCCAAUUACUGAUCUUUCAUUUCCACUGCCGACGUUUUAAUUGUCAUUCGCCACAAGGUCUCCUCCAUUGACAACCAUUUCAAAUCUCUCGUACCUUCUCUGUACUCUCGCUUUUCAUUUAAUCUUUUUCUUUUAUUUCAAUUUUCUAGCUUUGCUUAUUUAAAUUCAAGCUUUAACGAAGUGGAUUUACUUAUUGUUGCAAAUGUGAUUGUGCUUUGUACACAUCUUAGGAGCAUUUCAUUGGGUUGGGAUAAAAUUAGGUGAUUGCUCUCUCGUUUAAAAAUAUAACUGUAGCCUUAGUUGUACACCAAAAAGACAUAGUGGAAGCUUUAGUGGCAGGAAAUAACCUCGGUGAUUUUGUGCCAUCUUCAGUAGGGACAACAAUCUUGUGCAAUUCACAAACUUGUGUGAGCAGGAUAUAAAGUGACAGGUGAAAAUUCUUUUAGAAGUUGUGGGUGAAUCCAAUAUUUUAUUACUUAAAUAAGUUUGAGGAGUAAGCUAUUGGGCUUUAUAAACUGAAGCAUGCUAUCUACUUGUUUAACCCAAUUCAUAAGACGAGGAGGACGACAUGAACUGGGAGGUGGGGACAUUCAGGCAACAUAGAGAUUGUUUUGCUGUGCUCUUGGGGCAGGACAUAAUGAGUAUUCGGCAUGUUGAUUAUGCUUGGCAUGAAUUUUUCCCUGAAGGUAGUUUUCUUCACAUUUUUUAUGGGUCCAUAACAACUUGUUAAAUUUAUUGAUCUAAUAUCGGUGGUCUAGGCAACUCAAAAUAACUAUAGUGCAGUUAUUGCUCUAUGGCCCCUGUACUUAUGGUGUGUAUGCUAUAUUACAUGGUUAUACUCACGUAUCUCAAUCUUUUUGUUUGUUUGGGAUAAAUUUCAGUGUAAACAUCUCAGGUUACAUUUUGAAUGCAGGUUUAUUUCAUGGACACUCAAAUUUGGUGUUCCAUCAUUUCAACUAUAUGCGGUGGUGUUAUUGGGGCCUUUAAUAGUCUAGGAGAGGUUACUGUCAAUAUAUCUUAUUUAUAUAUCUGGAGAGAAGUUGGGAAUUAGAUAUUUUAUUGACUUUCUUUACUUUUUAAAACAUGUAUAUAUAUAAAAAAAAAUUAAAGUAAAUACACUUGAAUCUCCCUUUUCAUUCUAUGGAAGAUUUGACACUGGAAAAGUCACGGAUGCGCACUCUGACCAUGCUGAGAUUGCAGUUCGAGCAUUACAUGGUGCACUCAACACAUACUUGGUUCCUAUUGACAAGAAGCAGAAGAAGAAAUUUUCUUUAUCAAAGCAAUUUGACGAGAUUUAUGCAAGCAGAAGGCUUGAAGCAGCUAAAUUUGCUAAGUUAUGAAAUGAAGUAAUUUGUAGUUUCGAUAUUCUAAGAGGAGGGGACAAUGGAAAGCUGCAACACAAUCCCAGGAGUUCUUUAGGACUCUUAAACGAUAUUACAACAAUGUUUACAUGGAUGCUGAGAAGCAAAAUGCAAUUAACAUUAUUUGUCUAGUUUCAGAUGUGAACAAUAUCGUGAUAAUCAAAUCAUUGAAGUUAGGGAAAACUGAUGUUUAUUUGUAAUUAGUACAUGAUUAUAGGUUAUGUUAUGGUGAUGUAUAUGCUUAUAGAUACUCAUACGAUAUAUAUGUUAUGGUUGUAUAUAUUGUCAUAUAAAGCAAUGUUAUGUCAUGGCGAUGA